GGGAAUGAGGCAUUUUCUGAAGGGCGUUUCUCGUCUUUUCAUCAUCUUUGCAAACAAAAUUUUAAGGGUGUUGCUAAUCCAUGUGCUGUCCAGUUCAAAGGAAUUGGAUUUGUCACUACAUCUUGGAUGCAAUUUUAGCAGUCAGCCUCUUCUUUCAAGAAGAAACUUAGGCCGAUUCCUGUGAGAUGGAUCAGUCCACCUGCUGCUGAUUUUACACUUAGCUCAGAUGGUUGUUCAAAAGGUAAUCCAGGACUUAAAACUGGCAGAGGGGUUGUUUAGAAGUUUCUUUUUUUUUUUUUAUUGUUCAGAAGGUAAUUCAGCACAAUUUUCUUUUCCUUCGAAAUCUCAUUUUUGUCAACUUAAAAGAAACUUUUUUCAGGGCCGCCUACACAUCAUAUCCCUGAUUCAUCAAGUCAUCACAAACCCGAUUUUCACUUCUUGAUACUACUGCGGUUGAUGAUUCUUUCCUCUUGCUUCUUGCCUUCAUAGUAACUAUCUAUUACGUGCAAAGAACCAAAUUUACAAGCACUUGAAAUAAGAAAAACUAGUGCACAUUUUGAAAAAGUA
rnacentral:lncRNA from 1 species